CGCUGGCGGCGUGCUUAACACAUGCAAGUCGAACGAUGAAGCUGUGCUUGCACAGUGGAUUAGUGGCGAACGGGUGAGUAACACGUGAGUAACCUGCCCUCCACUUUGGGAUAACUCCGAGAAAUCGGGGCUAAUACUGGAUAUGACCUUGGCCCGCAUGGGUUGUGGUGGAAAGUUUUUCGGUGGGGGAUGGGCUCGCGGCCUAUCAGUUUGUUGGUGAGGUAGUGGCUCACCAAGGCGAUGACGGGUAGCCGGCCUGAGAGGGCGACCGGCCACACUGGGACUGAGACACGGCCCAGACUCCUACGGGAGGCAGCAGUGGGGAAUAUUGCACAAUGGGCGAAAGCCUGAUGCAGCGACGCCGCGUGGGGGAUGACGGCCUUCGGGUUGUAAACCUCUUUCAGCAAGGAAGAAGCGAAAGUGACGGUACUUGCAGAAGAAGCGCCGGCUAACUACGUGCCAGCAGCCGCGGUAAUACGUAGGGCGCAAGCGUUGUCCGGAAUUAUUGGGCGUAAAGGGCUUGUAGGUGGCUUGUCGCGUCUGCCGUGAAAACUCGAGGCUUAACCUUGGGCGUGCGGUGGGUACGGGCAGGCUAGAGUGCGGUAGGGGAGACUGGAAUUCCUGGUGUAGCGGUGAAAUGCGCAGAUAUCAGGAGGAACACCGAUGGCGAAGGCAGGUCUCUGGGCCGUUACUGACACUGAGAAGCGAAAGCAUGGGGAGCGAACAGGAUUAGAUACCCUGGUAGUCCAUGCCGUAAACGUUGGGCACUAGGUGUGGGGAGCAUUCCACGUUUUCCGCGCCGUAGCUAACGCAUUAAGUGCCCCGCCUGGGGAGUACGGCCGCAAGGCUAAAACUCAAAGGAAUUGACGGGGGCCCGCACAAGCGGCGGAGCAUGCGGAUUAAUUCGAUGCAACGCGAAGAACCUUACCAAGGCUUGACAUGCACUGGAUCGCUGCAGAGAUGUGGUUUUCUUUGGAGCUGUGCC
rnacentral:rRNA from 1 species